AACGAACGCUGGCGGCAGGCCUAACACAUGCAAGUCGAACGCUCUCUUCGGAGGGAGUGGCAGACGGGUGAGUAACGCGUGGGAAUCUACCCAGCUCUACGGAAUAACGCAUGGAAACGUGUGCUAAUACCGUACACGCCCCAUGGGGGAAAGAUUUAUCGGAGUUGGAUGAGCCCGCGUCUGAUUAGCUAGUUGGUGAGGUAAUGGCUCACCAAGGCGACGAUCAGUAGCUGGUCUGAGAGGAUGACCAGCCACACUGGGACUGAGACACGGCCCAGACUCCUACGGGAGGCAGCAGUGGGGAAUAUUGGACAAUGGGCGCAAGCCUGAUCCAGCCAUGCCGCGUGAGUGAUGACGGCCUUAGGGUUGUAAAGCUCUUUCACCGGUGAAGAUAAUGACGGUAACCGGAGAAGAAGCCCCGGCUAACUUCGUG
rnacentral:rRNA from 1 species